rnacentral:rRNA from 1 species
GAUGAACGCUAGCGGCAGGCUUAAUACAUGCAAGUCGAGGGGCAGCAGGACUGUAGCCCUACAGUUGCUGGCGACCGGCAAACGGGUGCGGGACACGUACGCAACCUACCCAAAACUGGGGGAUAGCCCGGGGAAACCCGGAUUAAUACCUCGUAACCUUUUUAAGUGGCAUCACUUGAUAAGUAUAGCUCCGGCGGUUUUGGAUGGGCGUGCGCCUGAUUAGGUAGUUGGUGCGGGUAACGGCCCACCAAGCCUGCGAUCAGUAACUGGUGUGAGAGCACGACCAGUCACACGGGCACUGAGACACGGGCCCGACUCCUACGGGAGGCAGCAGUAAGGAAUAUUGGUCAAUGGACGCAAGUCUGAACCAGCCAUGCCGCGUGAAGGAUGAAGGUCCUCUGGAUUGUAAACCUCUUUUAUGGGGGACGAAACCCGGAUAUUCUUAUCCGAUUGACGGUACCUCAGGAAUAAGCACCGGCUAACUCCGUG